rnacentral:tRNA from 1 species
GGGUUGGGGAUCUUAGUGGUAGAGCACUUGCCUAGCAUGCACAAGGCCCUGGGUUUGAUCCCCAGUAUCCCU